UUGGAGGGCAAGUCUGGUGCCAGCAGCCGCGGUAAUUCCAGCUCCAAUAGCGUAUAUUUAAGUUGUUGCAGUUAAAAAGCUCGUAGUUGGACCUUGGGCCUGGCUGGCCGGUCCGCCUCACCGCGUGUACUGGUCCGGCCGGGCCUUUCCUUCUGGGGAACCUCAUGCCCUUCACUGGGCGUGUUGGGGAACCAGGACUUUUACUUUGAAAAAAUUAGAGUGUUUAAAGCAGGCUAACGCCUGAAUACAUUAGCAUGGAAUAAUGAAAUAGGACGUUCGAUCCUAUUUUGUUGGUUUCUAGGAUUGACGUAAUGAUUAAUAGGGAUAGUUGGGGGCAUUAGUAUUCAAUUGUCGGAGGUGAAAUUCUUGGAUUUAUUGAAGACUAACUACUGCGAAAGCAUUUGCCAAGGAUGUUUUCAUUAAUCAAGAACGAAAGUUAGGGGAUCGAAGACGAUCAGAUACCGUCGUAGUCUUAACCAUAAACUAUGCCGACUAGGGAUCGGAUGAUGUUAAUUUUUUAAUGACUCAUUCGGCGCCUUACGGGAAAC
rnacentral:rRNA from 1 species